UUGCUUAUAUGUACCUUUAGGUAUUUGGUGUCGCAUUAUUUGAACUAAUAAAUCCAUAUAUCCAAGAUGAUGAGAAUGUGGCAACCCAGUCAAAGAAAGAAGAGAGCGAGUUCUGAAGCCAUUGGCUCAGAGGAAAGGUACUGCUGUUGCGAUUGUCAUGGAUGCAAAGUUACUUCAGUACUGCAUAAGAGGGGUGUGGCUACAAAAAACAAUAGUCUGAAGUAUACAUGGUUUGAGGUUUAGGGCAAGCUUUUAGCCCAUUACCCAAUCUGCCAAAGAGGGGUUUAAGUUAAAAUUCGGAAUGUGUGUGUCGU